rnacentral:lncRNA from 1 species
CUUCAACCUCCAGGACUCAAGUGAUCCUCCUACCUCAGCUCCCCAAGUAGCUAGGACCACAGGCAUGUGCCACCACACCCGGCUAAUUUUUUUUUUUUUUUUUUUUGUGGAUAGGGUGUCUCCCUGUGUUGCCCAUGCUGGUCUUGAACUCCUGGGUUCAAGUGAUCCUCCCACCUCGGGCUUCCAAACUGCUGAGAUUAUAGGCAUGAGCCACUGUGCCCGGCCUGAGAAGAGAGGAAUGUACCCAAUUUGUACAGGCUGAAGGUGACAUUACACUUAGAGGGAUCCACAGAUUCAAGAGGCUGCUUGGGGAGGGCAGCACAGUGAAGUACAAGGACUUUGACAUCAGAGAGGCCUGGAUUCAAGUCCCAAUUUCUGUGUGUGAUCUCUCUCUCUGCGGAAGCCAGCCACCGCUCUCCAAGGACUCUCGAGCAGCUCCAUCUACAGAUUCACAUGGAGAAGAAUUAAGGGUUCCUGCCAAUCACCAGCACCACUUUGCCAGCCUUGUAAGUGGGCCACCUUGGAAUUGGAGCCUCCAGUUCCUACUGACAUCUGACUGCAACAUCAUGAGAGACCCUGAGUUUGAACCACCCAGCUGAGCUGCUUCUGAGCUAACCCACUGAAACCGUGAAAGUACCUGAAUGAAACAACACCCAGUAGCCACUAGCACACCUAGCUCCCAGAUCUGUUUUUGAUGCCAUUCUUCAGUAAAAGGAAGCAAGGCUGCUUGGAGAAAUUGCUAUCAAGGACUGGGGUAGAAAAUAUACAAGAUGAAAUUGGAGCAUCUUGUAGUGCUUGAAAACAGUUGGCAUCUGUGUGAAGAUGUGAAUGGAGGAGGCAGAGUAGGCAGUGAGUGCCGCAGCCACAGCUUGUGUUCUCUGCAGCCCUGGCACAGAAGAUAGGAACACUCAUGGGGGAUGCGGCCACUGUGAUGUCUUCCCACACAAGAAGUGCCAAGUGCUUUUCUCAUGCUUUUCUGGAUUGUCCCAUGGUGGACGAGUCAGCAGGAGUGAGAUGGAGCAGCACAGUAGAGGGGCCAGGAUAUCGUUGUACAUAUUCUCAGCUAAGUGAGCACCAAUAGAGGAGAGGGAGAGUCUCAUGGAAGUUCCUUCUAAGCCUUUGGCUCUUUUUACCUUCAACAAGGUGUGCCACCUCUUUGAUCCAGCAAGUGGGAAGAACAGUCCCGGCCUCUUUGCACACAAGACCGUGAUACCAAUGCACCAUCACAGGCCCCACAGGGGAGCUGUCCGCUUCCCCACACAGCUGCUAGGGGCUCUUUUGCAUGUUCCCAACCUUUCCUGCCUUUAUCUGAUAUUCGUUCCUUAGAUCCUGGGAUGAGGAGGUGGACCAGCAGAAGGUGGGCUUGUGAAGGCAGCCCGGGGUCCAAAUCCUCCUGGCUCUUCAGCUUAGCGGGUUAGUUAACAUUCAGAAGCCUUCAUCUCCCAUCUGCAAAAUGGGCAUGUCCAACUCAGAAGCUGCCUUGAAGAAAGGGUCUACCCAGCAUGGUGCGUGGAGCCUAAGCAGUCAGUACUUCAGGACUUCACCCGGCCCCUUUCCAAUAACUGCUGCUGUCGCCCUCACAGGAUGUCACCUUCAGCGUCUGAAAGCUGGGUUUGAUGCGUCUGGAAAGGCGUCCCUGACAGGCGUCGUUGCCAGGAGCCCCUAGUGCCACCAGCAGCCAGCAGGGGAGGGCGUCCUCUGCCCGCUCACUUCUGACCCUUCUCUCGUUGCACCCGGAACAUGGUGCAGCUGGGAGCAGCCUGGGCUGCGCGGAAGGCUCAGAUUUGGGGACGGCCCUUGCCAGUGACUGUGAGCUGGGGUGUCUUGGAAACUCCCAGUCUCAGCUUCUCCAUUUAUAAGAUGAGAAUGAUCAUACCAGACUCAGGCAAGGUUGUUUGUGCAUUAGUGAAAUCAGACGUAUUAAAUAAAGUACCACAUUGAUCGUGGAGUUGUUGAAUAACCAA